GAGUUUGAUCCUGGCUCAUGAUGAACGCUAGCGGCAUGCUUAACACAUGCAAGUCGAGGGGUAACACGGAUUGCUUGCAAUCCGCUGACGACCGGCGCACGGGUGCGUAACGCGUAUGCAACCUACCUUCUACAGGGGGAUAGUCAGUAGAAAUGUUGAAUAAUACCCCAUACGAUCUUUGAAUAACAUUAUUUAAAGAAGAAAGUUCCGGCGGUAAAAAAUGGGCAUGCGUCCUAUUAGUUAGUUGGAGAGGUAACGGCUCCCCAAAACAUCGAUAGGUAGGGGUCCUGAAAGGGAGACCCCCCACACUGGUACUGAGACACGGACCACACUCCUACGGGAGGCAGCAGUGAGGAAUAUUGGACAAUGGAGGCAACUCUGAUCCAGCCAUGCCGCGUGCAGGAAGACUGCCCUAUGGGUUGUAAACUGCUUUUAUACAGGAAGAAAUGUACCUACGUGUAGGUAUUUGACGGUACUGUACGAAUAAGGAUCGGCUAACUCCGUGCCAGCAGCCGCGGUAAUAAGGGCGA
rnacentral:rRNA from 1 species